UGGGGAAUUUUCCGCAAUGGGCGAAAGCCUGACGGAGCAAUACCGCGUGAGGGAUGAAAGCCUGUGGGUUGUAAACCUCUUUUCUCAAGGAAGAAUUUUUGACGGUACUUGAGGAAUAAGCAUCGGCUAACUCUGUGCCAGCAGCCGCGGUAAUACAGAGGAUGCAAGCGUUAUCCGGAAUCACUGGGCAUAAAGCGUCUGUAGGUUGCGAAUCAAGUCUGUUGUUAAAGAUCAGGGCCUAACCCUGAGAAAGCAAUGGAAACUAAUACGCUUGAGUGUGGUAGAGGUAGAGGGAAUUCUUAGUGUAGCGGUGAAAUGCGUAGAUAUUAGGAAGAACACCAAUGGCGAAAGCACUCUACUGGGCCAUAACUGACACUGAGAGACGACAGCUAGGGGAGCAAAUGGG
rnacentral:rRNA from 1 species